GACAGAGGGUGCAAACGUUGUUCGGAUUUACUGGGCGUAAAGCGUGUGUAGGCGGCUUUGUAUGUCGGAUGUGAAAGCCCACGGCUCAACCGUGGAAGUGCAUCCGAAACUGCAUAGCUUGAGUCCCGGAGAGGAAGGUGGAAUGCUUGGUGUAGAGGUGAAAUUCGUAGAUAUCAAGCAGAACACCUGCGGCGAAGGCGGCCUUCUGGACGGUGACUGACGCUGAGACACGAAAGCGUGGGGAGCAAACAGGG
rnacentral:rRNA from 1 species